rnacentral:rRNA from 1 species
GGCAGAGGUGCCGAGCGUUAGGCGGAAUCACUGGGCUUAAAGCGUGUGUAGGCGGACCGUUAAGUACCUUGUGAAAUCCCACGGCUCACCCGUGGAACGGCUGGGUAUACUGGCGGUCUUGGGCCACCUAGGGGCAGAUGGAACAGACGGUGGAGCGGUGAAAUGCGUAGAUAUCGUCUGGAACGCCAAAGGUGAAAACAGUCUGCUGGGGGUGUGCCGACGCUGAGACACGAAAGCCAGGGGAGCGAACGGG